AUCUCCUUUAGUAUAGGGGUAUACACCAGCCUGUCACGCUGGCAGCCCGGGUUCGAAUCCCGGAGGAGAGA
rnacentral:tRNA from 1 species